AUUGAACGCUGGCGGCAGGCCUAACACAUGCAAGUCGAGCGGAUGAAGGGAGCUUGCUCCUGGAUUCAGCGGCGGACGGGUGAGUAAUGCCUAGGAAUCUGCCUGGUAGUGGGGGACAACGUUUCGAAAGGAACGCUAAUACCGCAUACGUCCUACGGGAGAAAGCAGGGGACCUUCGGGCCUCGCGCUAUCAGAUGAGCCUAGGUCGGAUUAGCUAGUUGGUGAGGUAAUGGCUCACCAAGGCGACGAUCCGUAACUGGUCUGAGAGGAUGAUCGGUCACACUGGAACUGAGACACGGUCCAGACUCCUACGGGAGGCAGCAGUGGGGAAUAUUGGACAAUGGGCGAAAGCCUGAUCCAGCCAUGCCGCGUGUGUGAAGAAGGUCUUCGGAUUGUAAAGCACUUUAAGUUGGGAGGAAGGGUUGUAGAUUAAUACUCUGCAAUUUUGACGUUACCGACAGAAUAAGCACCGGCUAACUCUGUGCCAGCAGCCGCAGUAAUAC
rnacentral:rRNA from 1 species